AGACGGGGGGUGCUAGCGUUGUUCGGAAUUACUGGGCGUAAAGGGCGCGUAGGCGGCUCUGCGAGUCGGGCGUGAAAUCCCGGGGCUCAACCCCGGAACGGCGCUCGAUACUGCGGGGCUGGAGACCGGAAGAGGAGGGUGGAAUUCCCAGUGUAGAGGUGAAAUUCGUAGAUAUUGGGAGGAACACCGGUGGCGAAAGCGGCUCUCUGGUCCGGUUCUGACGCUGAGGCGCGAAAGCGUGGGGAGCAAACAGGAUUAGAAACCCUUGUAGUCC
rnacentral:rRNA from 1 species